UGAGACACGGCCCAGACUCCUACGGGAGGCAGCAGUGGGGAAUAUUGCACAAUGGGGGAAACCCUGAUGCAGCGACGCCGCGUGGAGGAAGAAGGUCUUCGGAUUGUAAACUCCUGUUGUUGAGGAAGAUAAUGACGGUACUCAACAAGGAAGUGACGGCUAACUACGUGCCAGCAGCCGCGGUAAAACGUAGGUCACAAGCGUUGUCCGGAAUUACUGGGUGUAAAGGGAGCGCAGGCGGGAGAACAAGUUGGAAGUGAAAUCCAUGGGCUCAACCCAUGAACUGCUUUCAAAACUGUUUUUCUUGAGUAGUGCAGAGGUAGGCGGAAUUCCCGGUGUAGCGGUGGAAUGCGUAGAUAUCGGGAGGAACACCAGUGGCGAAGGCGGCCUACUGGGCACCAACUGACGCUGAGGCUCGAAAGUGUGGGUAGCAAACAGGAUUAGAUACCCUGGUAGUCCACACCGUAAACGAUGAUUACUAGGUGUUGGAGGAUUGACCCCUUCAGUGCCGCAGUUAACACAAUAAGUAAUCCACCUGGGGAGUACGACCGCAAGGUUGAAACUCAAAGGAAUUGACGGGGGCCCGCACAAGCAGUGGAGUAUGUGGUUUAAUUCGACGCAACGCGAAGAACCUUACCAAGUCUUGACAUCCCUUGACGAACAUAGAAAUAUGUUUUCUCUUCGGAGCAAGGAGACAGGUGGUGCAUGGUUGUCGUCAGCUCGUGUCGUGAGAUGUUGGGUUAAGUCCCGCAACGAGCGCAACCCUUAUGGUCAGUUACUACGCAAGAGGACUCUGGCCAGACUGCCGUUGACAAAACGGAGGAAGGUGGGGAUGACGUCAAAUCAUCAUGCCCUUUAUGACUUGGGCUACACACGUACUACAAUGGCGUUAAACAAAGAGAAGCAAGACCGCGAGGUGGAGCAAAACUCAGAAACAACGUCCCAGUUCGGACUGCAGGCUGCAACUCGCCUGCACGAAGUCGGAAUUGCUAGUAAUCGUGGAUCAGCAUGCCACGGUGAAUACGUUCCCGGGCCUUGUACACACCGCCCGUCACACCAUGAGAGCCGGGGGGACCCGAAGUCGGUAGUCUAACCGCAAGGAGGACGCCGCCGAAGGUAAAACUGGUGAUUGGGGUGAAGUCGUAACAAGGUAGCCGUAGGAGAACCUGCGGCUG
rnacentral:rRNA from 1 species